rnacentral:rRNA from 1 species
GACGAACGCUGGCGGCAGGCUUAACACAUGCAAGUCGAGCGAGCGGCGGACGGGUGAGUAAUGUCUGGGAAACUGCCUGAUGGAGGGGGAUAACUACUGGAAACGGUAGCUAAUACCGCAUACCAUACGAUGUGCGAAGAUGGGAUUGGCGAGUAGGUGGGGGAAUGGCUCGCCGAGGCGACGCACCCUAGCUGGGCUGAGAGGAUGACCAGCAAAACUGAAACUGAGACGCGGUCCAGACUCCUACGGGAGGAAGCAGUGGGGAAUAUGGCACAAUGGGCGCAAGCCUGAUGCAGCCAGGCCGCGUGUGUGAAGAAGGCCUUCGGGUUGUAAAGCACUUUCAGCUAGGAGGCGUUACUCGCAGAAGAAGCACCGGCUAACUCCGUGCCAGACGCCGCGGUAAUUC